AGGUUGGACAACUAGGUGCCCAUGACCAACUCCUCAUUGUGGAUGAAUUUAGUCUGGCUGGACUUUCUCAGGAAAGGGCAGCAGAACUCAUGACUACAACCAGUUCCAUGGUUACACUGGAAGUUGCAAAUCAAGGCAUCCUCUCUCACUGCCUGUCCACCUUUCUUACCCAGCCAUUGUCCUCCAUGGUGCAGAGAGGACCUCCUCUGUCACAGGACAUCCACUGUUUAAGCACCACCACUACCUCAGGAAGUCCACUGUCUGUGUGUCAACUCCACUGUUACAGGACCACAAGUGUCUCAGCACUUCAACUAUCACAGCAAUUCUACUGUUCAGGAGCUCAAGAGUCUCAGCAUCUCAAGUGUCACAGGACCUCCUUUGUCCAAGAACUGGACUGUCCAAGCAAC
ensembl:lncRNA